AGACCCGCGGAGUUUGUGUUUGUAUUAACUACCUGUGGUGUUUUUUUUUCUCUUCUGGGGAACGCUGAAGUCUUGGGAUUUUUACCUUCUGUGUGAAACGGAGAGAAUGCAGUAUCGGAAAGGUGAAAUAAGGAAAGCCAGAUUUAGGCGUCCGAAUUUAACAGGAUAAUAGACCCAAGAAAUCCGAAGUGUCGUGGCAGCAGCUGUAGCUUGUAGUUCAGUGAGACCCUUGAUAUAUCCCCUGGCAAGGGUGCAUCCUCUUUGGGGACCUGGACCUUUGACACUGCAGAGCCCAGAGUUACAGAGAUGAAAGCAUGAAAUUUCUGUGGGUCAGUGGGAGUGAUGUCCUUCCUGUAUUUGGAAGCAGUGCCUGUCUCCUAUCCUGGAAGAGGCACAAUCUAUAAGGAGUCUUGUCACUCGACAUAGUCACCUUUAAGGAUCUGGUUGAGAAUGCGGCGUGGCCAACGCUUUGAUGGCAGCCUGUGAGACCCUGAGUGGAGGACCCAGAAAAACUGUGCCUGGAUUCCUGAUCCACAAAAACCAUUGUUAGGACAUCAUCAGCAAGGCCAAGUACUUGUGGAAGGAAGGGGAUUCGGCACACCGUUGUGGCUGGAGGAGCUCCUGAAACUAUCAGAGCUGUGGAGGACCCUGUGGGUCACAAGCCGGUCAAAAUCCACGGGAAAGU